rnacentral:rRNA from 1 species
UACAGGGGGGGCAAGCGUUGUUCGGAAUUACUGGGCGUAAAGGGCUCGUAGGUGGCCAACUAAGUCAGACGUGAAAUCCCUCAGCUUAACUGGGGAACUGCGUCUGAUACUGGAUGGCUUGAGUUUGGGAGAGGGAUGCGGAAUUCCAGGUGUAGCGGUGAAAUGCGUAGAUAUCUGGAGGAACACCGGUGGCGAAGGCGGUAUCCUGGACCAACACUGACACUGAGGAGCGAAAGCCAGGGGAGCAAACGGG